rnacentral:rRNA from 1 species
UACGAAGGGUGCAAGCGUUAAUCGGAAUUACUGGGCGUAAAGCGCGCGUAGGUGGUUCAGUAAGUUGGAAGUGAAAUCCCCGGGCUCAACCUGGGAACUGCUUUCAAAACUGCUGAGCUAGAGUACAGUAGAGGGUGGUGGAAUUUCCUGUGUAGCGGUGAAAUGCGUAGAUAUAGGAAGGAACACCAGUGGCGAAGGCGACCACCUGGACUGAUACUGACACUGAGGUGCGAAAGCGUGGGGAGCAAACAGG